AACGAACGCUGGCGGCAUGCCUAACACAUGCAAGUCGAACGAGACCUUCGGGUCUAGUGGCGCACGGGUGCGUAACGCGUGGUAACCUGCCCUUAGGUUCGGAAUAACUCCCCGAAAGGGGUGCUAAUACCGGAUAAUGUCUUCGGACCAAAGAUUUAUCGCCUUUGGUUGGGCCCGCGUUGGAUUAGCUAGUUGGUAGGGUAAAAGCCUACCAAGGCGACGAUCCAUAGCUGGUCUGAGAGGAUGAUCAGCCACACUGGGACUGAGACACGGCCCAGACCCCUACGGGAGGCAGCAGUGGGGAAUAUUGGACAAUGGGCGAAAGCCUGAUCCAGCAAUGCCGCGUGAGUGAUGAAGGCCUUAGGGUUGUAAAGCUCUUUUACCCGGGAUGAUAAUGACAGUACCGUGCGAAUAAGCUCCGGCUAACUCCGUG
rnacentral:rRNA from 1 species